rnacentral:rRNA from 1 species
UACAGAGGUCUCAAGCGUUGUUCGGAUUCAUUGGGCGUAAAGGGUGCGUAGGUGGUGGGGUAAGUCGGAUGUGAAAUCCCGGGGCUCAACCCCGGAACUGCAUUCGAUACUGCCUUGCUCGAGUACUGGAGAGGAGACUGGAAUUUACGGUGUAGCAGUGAAAUGCGUAGAUAUCGUAAGGAAGACCAGUGGCGAAGGCGAGUCUCUGGACAGUUACUGACACUGAGGCACGAAGGCCAGGGAGCAAACGGG